rnacentral:rRNA from 1 species
GAUCAAGUGUCUUAAGGGCAAUUGGUGGAUGCCUUGGCAUGCACAGGCGAUGAAGGACGUGAUACGCUGCGAUAAGCUACGGGGAGGUGCGAAUACCCUUUGAUCCGUAGAUUUCCGAAUGGGGAAACCCACCUAAGGUACUUGGAAAAUCAGAGCAGCCGGAAGGUCGCAAGGCCGACUUGCUGCUGUGGUUUCCAAGUAUCGAUAAUAGGUAACUUACCCUGAAUACAUAGGGGUAAAGUGGCGAACGCGGGGAACUGAAACAUCUAAGUACCCGUAGGAAAGGACAUCAACCGAGACUCCGGAAGUAGUGGCGAGCGAACCCGGACCAGGCCAGUGGCGAUUGAGAGACAAGCGGAACCUUCUGGAAAGUAGGGCCAUAGUGGGUGACAGCCCCGUACGCGUAAUGCAAUCAAUCGUCCUCGAGUAAGGCGGGACACGUGAAAUCCUGUCUGAAAUUGGGGGGACCACCCUCCAAGCCUAAGUACUCGUGCAUGACCGAUAGCGAACUAGUACCGUGAGGGAAAGGUGAAAAGCACCCCGACAAGGGGAGUGAAAGAGUACCUGAAACCGGUUGCCUACAAACAGUGGAAGCCCAAGGUUCGUCCUGGGUGACCACGUACCUUUUGUAUAAUGGGUCAGCGACUUAGUGUGACGAGCAAGCUUAAACCGCUAGGUGUAGGCGCAGCGAAAGCGAGUCUGAAUAGGGCGUUCAGUUCGUCGCAUUAGACCCGAAACCGAGUGAUCUAGCCAUGAGCAGGUUGAAGGUAAGGUAACACUUACUGGAGGACCGAACCCAUAACUGUUGCAAUAGUUCGGGAUGACUUGUGGCUAGGGGUGAAAGGCCAAUCAAACUCGGAAAUAGCUGGUUCUCCGCGAAAUCUAUUUAGGUAGAGCGUCGACCGAAUACCCCAGGGGGUAGAGCACUGGAUGGGCUAGGGGUCCUCACCGGAUUACCAAACCUAACCAAACUCCGAAUACCUGGGAGUACUAGUCGGCAGACACACGGCGGGUGCUAACGUCCGUCGUGAAAAGGGAAACAACCCUGACCUACAGCUAAGGUCCCCAAGUUAUGGCUAAGUGGGAAAGGAUGUGAGGAUCCCAAAACAACCAGGAUGUUGGCUUAGAAGCAGCCAUCAUUUAAAGAAAGCGUAACAGCUCACUGGUCUAAAUAAGGGUCUUUGCGCCGAAAAUGUAACGGGGCUAAAGCCAUACACCGAAGCUUAGGGUUUGGUCCGCAAGGGCCAAGCGGUAGCGGAGCGUUCUGUAAGCUGAUGAAGCCAUACCCGUGAGGGGUGGUGGAGGUAUCAGAAGUGCGAAUGCUGACAUGAGUAACGUAAGGGGAGUGAGAGACUCCCCCGCCGAAAGACCAAGGGUUCCUGCUUAAAGCUAAUCUGAGCAGGGUUAGCCGGCCCCUAAGACGAGGCGGAAACGCGUAGUCGAUGGGAACCACGUUAAUAUUCGUGGGCUUGGAGGUAGUGACGGAUCAUUGAGGUAGUCCAAUCUUAUCGGAUUGAACGGGCUGCUGCGUGGUUCCAGGAAAUAGCUCCUCCUUAUAAACCGUACCCGAAACCGACACUGGUGGUCUGGUAGAGUAUACCAAGGCGCUUGAGAGAACUAUGCUGAAGGAACUCGGCAAAUUGCACGCGUAACUUCGGAAGAAGCGUGACCCUUUUCUACGCAAGUAGAGGAGGGUGGCACAGACCAGGGGGUAGCGACUGUUUAUCAAAAACACAGGGCUCUGCGAAGUCGCAAGACGACGUAUAGGGUCUGACGCCUGCCCGGUGCUGGAAGGUUAAGAGGAGGGGUGCAAGCUCUGAAUCGAAGCCCCAGUAAACGGCGGCCGUAACUAUAACGGUCCUAAGGUAGCGAAAUUCCUUGUCGGGUAAGUUCCGACCUGCACGAAUGGCGUAACGACUUCCCCGCUGUCUCCAGCAUAGACUCAGUGAAAUUGAAUUCCCCGUGAAGAUGCGGGGUUCCUGCGGUUAGACGGAAAGACCCCGUGCACCUUUACUAUAGCUUUACAUUGGCAUUCGUAGUGGCAUGUGUAGGAUAGGUGGUAGGCUUUGAAACCUGGGCGCCAGCUCAGGUGGAGCCACCCUUGAAAUACCACCCUUAUUACUAUGGAUGUCUAACCGCGGCCCGUUAUCCGGGUCCGGGACAAUGUAUGGUGGGUAGUUUGACUGGGGCGGUCGCCUCCUAAAGAGUAACGGAGGCGCGCGAUGGUGGGCUCAGAACGGUCGGAAAUCGUUCGCUGAGUGCAAUGGCAUAAGCCUGCCUGACUGCGAGACUGACAAGUCGAGCAGAGACGAAAGUCGGUCAUAGUGAUCCGGUGGUCCCGCGUGGAAGGGCCAUCGCUCAACGGAUAAAAGGUACGCCGGGGAUAACAGGCUGAUGACCCCCAAGAGUCCAUAUCGACGGGGUUGUUUGGCACCUCGAUGUCGACUCAUCGCAUCCUGGGGCUGGAGCAGGUCCCAAGGGUAUGGCUGUUCGCCAUUUAAAGCGGUACGUGAGUUGGGUUCAGAACGUCGUGAGACAGUUCGGUCCCUAUCUGCCGUGGGUGUAGGAAUAUUGAAAGGAUCUGUCCCUAGUACGAGAGGACCGGGAUGGACGGAUCUCUGGUGGACCUGUUGUGGCGCCAGCCGCAUAGCAGGGUAGCUAUAUCCGGACGGGAUAACCGCUGAAGGCAUCUAAGCGGGAAACCCACCUUAAAACGAGUAUUCCCUGAGAACCGUGGAAGACGACCACGUUGAUAGGCCGGGUGUGGAAGAGCGGCAACGCUUGAAGCUUACCGGUACUAAUAGUUCGAUCGGCUUGAUCGUUCUCAUU